rnacentral:rRNA from 1 species
CACGUAGGGUGCGAGCGUUGUCCGGAAUUAUUGGGCGUAAAGAGCUCGUAGGCGGUCCGUCACGUCGGAUGUGAAAUUCCAGGGCUUAACUCUGGACCUGCAUUCGAUACGGGCGGACUAGAGUUCGGUAGGGGAGACUGGAAUUCCUGGUGUAGCGGUGAAAUGCGCAGAUAUCGGGAGGAACACCCGUAGCGAAGGCGGCACUCUGGGCCGGAACUGACGCUGAGGAGCGAAAGCGUGGGGAGCAAACAGG